AUAUAUACUCAGAGGUGAAAUUGCUGGAUCAUAUGGGGAUUCUAUUUUUCAUAUUUUGAGGAACUGCCAUACUUUUUUCAUACCAGCUGCAUCAUUUUACAUUCCCACCAACAGUGCACCAGGCUUCCAAUUUGUCCACACCCUCACCAAAACUUGUAAUUUUCUAUUAACAAGUGUUGAUAGUAGCCAUCUUGAUGGGUAUGAGGAAGAAUAAUUUUUAAAACACUUUUUUCUAAAGUCAAAGUCAAAGAUUAUUCUCUGAUUGCACUCAGUGCUGUGUUUUGUUGUUUAAGAAAGUAUUUGGGUUGGGUGCAAUGGCUCACGCCUGUAAUGCCAGCACUUUGGGAGGCUGAGGCAGGUGGAUGACCUGAGGUCAGGAGUUCGAGACUAGCCUGGCCAACAUGGUGAAACCCUGUCUCUAUUAAAAAUAAAAAAAUUAGAUAGGCAUGGUGGUGUACACCUGUAAUCCCAGCUACUCAAGAGGCUGAGGCAGGAGAAUCACUUUAACCAGGGAGGCAGAAGUUGCAGUGACCCGAGAUUGCACCACUGCACUCCAGCCUGGGCAACAAGAGCGAAACUCCAUCUCAAAAAACAAAAAAAGUAUUUGGAAGCAGACAUACACGGAUUUAAAUUACAACUCCACUAUGUUCUAGUUUUUUCUCCAGUGACAUAGGAAUAUUUAUGCUUUCCUUAAAAAUUAUUCUAAAUACUAAGAUAAUGUAAAUAAAACACUUGGCACAGCAGCUAGCAUAUUGUAAGUGCUCAAAAAAUGGUAGUUGCACUGAUAUUGAAAUAAGAAGACUUAUGAUACCUACUCAUAAGAAACUUAUCAUCUUGUUGAGAAGAGACAACUAACUUACAUGAAACAUCUAAAUAAUGAAAGU
rnacentral:lncRNA from 10 species